GAUGAACGCUGGCGGCGUGCCUAAUACAUGCAAGUCGAGCGAACAGACGAGGAGCUUACUCCUCUGACGUUAGCGGCGGACGGGUGAGUAACACGUGGAUAACCUACCUAUAAGACUGGGAUAACUUCGGGAAACCGGAGCUAAUACCGGAUAACAUGUUGAACCGCAUGGUUCAACAGUGAAAGACGGUCUUGCUGUCACUUGUAGAUGGAUCCGCGUCGCAUUAGCUAGUUGGUAAGGUAACGGCUUACCAAGGCAACGAUGCGUAGCCGACCUGAGAGGGUGAUCGGCCACACUGGAACUGAGACACGGUCCAGACUCCUACGGGAGGCAGCAGUAGGGAAUCUUCCGCAAUGGGCGAAAGCCUGACGGAGCAACGCCGCGUGAGUGAAGAAGGUCUUCGGAUCGUAAAACUCUGUUAUUAGGGAAGAACAAAUGUGUAAGUAACGAUGCACGUCUUGACGGUACCUAAUCAGAAAGCCACGGCUAACUACGU
rnacentral:rRNA from 1 species